GAUCAAUAUAUGAAUCUGUUGUUUUUCUUUACUGUUGAAGCAUAUGAUAAAAAGAUCAUAACAUGUCAUUUUUCAUAUCGCAUGUAUUAUCAGCCCUCGGUCAAUAUCAGCCCUCGAGCCAUGCGGCUCUUGGGCUGAUAUUGAACCUUAGGCUGAUAAUACAUGCGAUAUGAAAAAUGCCAUGUAAUAAUCUGAUAUUAU
rnacentral:lncRNA from 1 species